UUAAUACCUUUCUGAACUUAACCCUUUAGCAUUCAGAAUACUUUGUCGAAUAUAAUGCUUAUUCAAUCAUAUUCUUUUGAAUCAAUC